AGCGAACGCUGGCGGCAGGCUUAACACAUGCGAGUCGAACGGGCUUCUUCGGAAGUCAGUGGCAGACGGGUGAGUAACACGUGGGAACGUGCCCUUCGGUUCGGAAUAACUCAGGGAAACUUGAGCUAAUACCGGAUACGCCCUUUUGGGGAAAGGUUGACUGCCGAAGGAUCGGCCCGCGUCUGAUUAGCUUGUUGGUGGGGUAACGGCCUACCAAGGCGACGAUCAGUAGCUGGUCUGAGAGGAUGAUCAGCCACACUGGGACUGAGACACGGCCCAGACUCCUACGGGAGGCAGCAGUGGGGAAUAUUGGACAAUGGGCGCAAGCCUGAUCCAGCCAUGCCGCGUGAGUGAUGAAGGCCUUAGGGUUGUAAAGCUCUUUUGUCCGGGACGAUAAUGACGGUACCGGAAGAAUAAGCCCCGGCUAACUUCGUG
rnacentral:rRNA from 1 species